rnacentral:rRNA from 1 species
UACGAGGGGGCGAGCGUUGUUCGGAAUUAUUGGGCGUAAAGGGUGUGUAGGCGGUUGCUUAAGUUUGGUGUGAAAUCUCCCGGCUCAACCGGGAGGGUGCGCCGAAUACUGAGUGACUAGAGUGCGGGAGAGGAAAGUGGAAUUCCUGGUGUAGCGGUGAAAUGCGUAGAUAUCAGGAGGAACACCGGUGGUGUAGACGGCUUUCUGGACCGUAACUGACGCUGAGACACGAAAGCGUGGGUAGCAAACAGG